rnacentral:rRNA from 1 species
GACGGAGGGUGCUAGCGUUGUUCGGAAUCACUGGGCGUAAAGGGCGCGUAGGCGGCUUUGGCAGUCGGCUUGUGAAAGCCCGGGGCUCAACCCCGGAGGUGCGGCCGAUACACCAAGGCUGGAGGCCGGAAGAGGAGGGUGGAAUACCCAGUGUAGAGGUGAAAUUCGUAGAUAUUGGGUGGAACACCGGUGGCGAAAGCGGCUCUCUGGUCCGGUCCUGACGCUGAGGCGCGAAAGCGUGGGGAGCAAACAGG